rnacentral:misc_RNA from 1 species
GAUGAAGAACGUAGCGAAAUGCGAUAAGUAAUGUGAAUUGCAGAAUUCAGUGAAUCAUCAAAUCUUUGAACGCACCUUGCACCCUUUGGCAUUCUGAAGGGUAUGCUCGUUUGAGUGUCAUUGUACUCUCACACUCCCGAUCUUUGCAUUGGGAGCAGUGGACUUGGGUUUGCUGCUUCACCGUCGCUUACCUCAAAUAGGUUAGUGCAACUCUUGGUUGGACAUAGUACGGCGUGAUAAGUGUUCUUCGCCGGUGCCUCGCAAAGAGGGUGGCCGAUCGGGAUGUUGUGCUCCAAACCGUCUUCGGACAAUCUCUGACGACUUGACCUCAAAUCGAGUAAGACUACCCGCUGAACUUAAGCAUAUCAAUAAGCGGAGGA